AAUAGAUACCCCGGUAGUCCUAGCCGUAAACGAUACUCGCUAGGUGUCGGCCACGGUGCGACCGUUGUCGGUGCCGUAGGGAAGCCGUGAAGCGAGCCACCUGGGAAGUACGGCCGCAAGGCUGAAACUUAAAGGAAUUGGCGGGGGAGCACCACAACGGGUGGAGCUUGCGGUUUAAUUGGAUUCAACGCCGGAAAUCUUACCGGGACCGACAGCAAUAUGAAGGCCAGGCUGAAGACUUUGCCGGAUUAGCUGAGAGGUGGUGCAUGGCCGUCGUCAGUUCGUACUGUGAAGCAUCCUGUUAAGUCAGGCAACGAGCGAGACCCACGCCCACAGUUGCCAGCGUACUCUCUGGAGUGACGGGUACACUGUGGGGACCGCCGCUGCUAAAGCGGAGGAAGGAAUGGGCAACGGUAGGUCAGUAUGCCCCGAAUAUCCCGGGGCUACACGCGAGCUACAAUGGUUGGUACAAUGGGUAUCUACCCCGAAAGGGGACGGGAAUCUCCUAAAACCAAUCUUAGUUCGGGUUGAGGGCUGCAACUCGCCCUCAUGAAG
rnacentral:rRNA from 1 species